CAGUGCCGCACAUGUGUCGGUCCCCCCGAAGGGGUGAAAAGGGAACGACGGUGCGGCCUGCGCCUGGGUGACCGGGUGGGGCCAACGCCGUGGCUGCCCCCGCAACUGUGAUCGGCGAGUUCGCCGCCCCCCGUCCGCACGGACGGGAACAGGCCACUGGGAAACUGGGAAGGCCGGGCGUCGGAUGCGGACCCGAGAGCCAGGAGACCUGCCGGCAUGAAGCGUCACGC
rnacentral:ncRNA from 2 species